GUAGGGUGCGAGCGUUGUCCGGAAUUAUUGGGCGUAAAGAGCUCGUAGGCGGUUUGUCGCGUCGACUGUGAAAACCUGGGGCUUAACUCUGGGCCUGCAGUCGAUACGGGCAGACUUGAGUUCGGUAGGGGAGACUGGAAUUCCUGGUGUAGCGGUGAAAUGCGCAGAUAUCAGGAGGAACACCGGUGGCGAAGGCGGGUCUCUGGGCCGAUACUGACGCUGAGGAGCGAAAGCGUGGGGAGCGAACAGGAUUAGAUACCCUGGUAGUCCACGCUGUAAACGUUGGGCGCUAGGUGUGGGGGACAUUCACGUCUUCCGUGCCGUAGCUAACGCAUUAAGCGCCCCGCCUGGGGAGUACGGCCGCAAGGCUAAA
rnacentral:rRNA from 1 species